GCGAUCUUGACUAAUUAUUACUUUUUUUGCCUAAAAUGACUGACAACGGUCAUAUUUAGUGGGUGAUGCUCUUUCGUAAAUUCAUCAGUUGUUCUUCGCUCUAGCACACUCAGACGAGAGUGCUCUGAAAUCGGAGUAGAUAGCCAGAGUGAAUUUGCGAAAGCAAGAGAUAUGCUAACUGGAUAACAGUCAUUCAAGUUCUUUCUAGCUAACCAAAUGACACCUGCGUCUCUAGCUGUGUAUAGCCACCGAGAAACGAUAUGAGGGAAAAAAGUAAUUCACUCACCCACUCCUCCAAUGACAUGACAUCCUCCUAGCAGCUAGCUAUCUAGCUAACGUUAGGCUCCGUGUUUUUAGCUUGCUACAUAAAUAGAUAUGCUAGCCUAUUAGCCACGUUAUAACUGACUUGUAAUCAUUGCCCUUGCUAGUUUGAUUGUAUUGACAUUCCCAGCAUAAACUGGGAAUUUUAUAUUUUUCAAUGAUAUUAUGAUUGUCUGUUUAUUUCAUAUCUGCAAAGUAGUUAAAACGCUGUAGUUCCACUUUAAACUUGGUUCAUUUGUGUGCUAAACUUGAAAUGCUUUUUUUGCAAUGGGAAGUAAUAGGUGUACAUUUCAAUUGGGGAAUGCUUAAUGGUUGUGUUUUUGUAUUCUUAUGAUUGGGACCUACUAGCUUAUUAUGUCCUAGUUUAUGGACUGCUUAUCCUUUAACAUCAUGCUGUGUGUGACUGCUGUUUUUCCAUCGGCCCUAUGCAGUGGUGUAGCGGUGCCUGGUCUGUAUGGAGGAGUGGGCCAAAAUCCCUGCUGCAGUGUGUGCAAACCUGGUCAAGAACUACAGGAAACAUGUGAUCUCUGUAAUUGCAAACAAAGAUUCCGUCUCUUACAGUUGAAGUGUACCUAUGAUAAAAAUUACAGACCUCUACAUGCUUUGGCUCCCUGGUGUCUCUUUAACUGUCAGUUCAGCGGAGGAGGCAGUGUGAACUUCAGUUUGUCACCCCUAACUUUCCUGUCACAGGCGGUCAAAAGAGUAAGUCUUAUAGGCCACAGAGGAUGUAAAGAAGAGAAGAGGGAGUGGCCCACUCGUCCCUGGUCUAAAGUAGUGCACUAUAUAGUGAAUAGGGUGCGAUUUGGAUGCAAACCUAGAGCUAGUCUGCUUCACUGUGUACGCCUAUAGACUUCUCUAUUCUUAGAAGGUGAUGAUGAGUGGAAAAAUGUAUCACUACCCAUGUGAUUUUAAGUGUUAUAGAAGAUCAUCUGUAAUAUCAAUAUGUCGCAAACCAGAUCUAAGGCCAUUAUAAUUGGUCUUCUCCCUCUGCAUCAGACUGGCUGCUAUGUGUAGUAACUCAGCCUGCUUAGAUAUAACAUUACAUUUCAGACUAAUAGGUGUCAUCAAACACAGUUGCUAGUCUCUCUUUCGACCCUCCUCUUGUAAGAUUGUUUAGGGACAGAAAGACAGUUUGCGCCUCCAUUACUAUAUAGUAGGUUGAGUUGAAUAUCUGCCCAGCAACAGUGAUUAUUAGAUGACAUGUGAUUGUGUCCUGAGUCUCUACGCGUUUAAAUAGACAGUCCAAUUCUGAUAUUUUAACCAAUCGGACGAGCUCUGAAAAAGACAAGAUGUCAAAAGAUCUGAUAUGAUUGGUUAGUGGGACCAAUCAGUGGGAAAAAGUUCAGAAUUGGGCUGAAUGUCUAAACGCAGCCUAUGGCUCAAAUUAUGUUUUAUUCAGCCUGUUUCCUGUAUUUGAUGUCUUAUUCAGCCUGUUUCCUGUAUUUGAUGUCUUAUUCAGCCUGUUUCCUGUAUUUGAUGUCUUAUUCAGCCUGUUUUCUGUAUUUGAUGUCUUAUUCAGCCUGUUUCCUGUAUUUGAUGUCUUAUUCAGCAUGUUUGAUUUGAUUUGCCUGAAUUUGAAAACCAAACGCAUAGAAAUAAAAUGACAUGAAUGUAGCUCUAAACUCCAUAUUAUAUUCUUCACACUCCAAUAUGGUGGCCGAGCAUCCCACUUGGAUCAUAGCAUUUAAAUUAGAAUAUCUAUUGUACUGCAUUUCUAGCUACAUGGACCUGGCCUGCAGACUGUUGUGAUGGCACAGAUAGCCAGCCCACCGUGCAGCCCACUGCUGUGUCUGGUAUCUCACACUAAGGUGAGAGAGGAGGGGAUAGAGGAGGGAUGGC
ensembl:lncRNA